GCCAGCUUAACAGUCACAACUGACAACCGAGUUGCAAAUGGCAAGCAGCAGUCUCCACCGUCCACCUGAUCGUGUUGCAGAGCACAGAGAGGGUCCCUGUGCGGGGCUGUUGGCAAUCAGCGUCCCAGCGUCAGUCCAGUUUACAGGCAGAAAUGGAAACACUGAUGACAGCUUGUCAGAGAUUACACACCUGGGAUGUGAUGGAGCAAGAAUUAAGCUCAGCAGUCUGCCUCCUGCACCGCGCUCCUAACAAUUGUUCUCUAUCAUGCACUCCCUUUCAUGUAUUCAGUAUUCUCAAAGAAAACGUUGUUAUAAAACAGCAUACUUAUGACUUUUAUUAUUACAAACGAGUAAAUUUGUGUCUUCUCGGUCUUACAUGAAAAUAAACAUUUUGGCUUAAACCUA